rnacentral:lncRNA from 1 species
CGAUUCUUAAUCCCGGAUCCGCAAGGACUCGGACGGUCGAAUGGCGAACCACAGAGCUCCCAACGGCGAAGAGUGGGUGCAGCCAGGCUCUACCAUCCCCAUAGGAAUUUCUUCACUGGGGACAGCUACUACUGAGGGCCGGGGCGGGCCUCGAUUCCAGGCCGACCAGUUCGUUGCAGGGACACUCUAUAGAAAGUCAAACGAGGUCCGAAAGGCGAAGCUCUAUCCGGCUAGGACUUCCCGCGGCUGUCUGCUAGGGCGCCCCUUCUCUUUCGACUAACCGCAACACACCGACGUCUGCACACGCCUACCCGAGGUGUGGGGUCAUCUUUCGCCGGAUCAUCACCAACGGCGGUGGCAGUACUUAGUAAUCCCUGUCACUAUGGACG